UGGGUGUGGUUUAUAAUAUUCCCCUUAGCUGCGUCCAGUUCUACGUAGGGCAAACGGGACGGUGUAUCAAUCAGAGGCUAAUGGAACAUGAAAGGAAACUUUACGGAGCUAGCGAGAUGCAAAGGGCCAAGCAGACAAUGCCACUACGGAGCAAAUGCCGGACCACACCGGAGUCGUGGCGGGUGUGGCCAACUGGAGACUCCCGAAUGACCUUCGAUCAUUUGCUUUUUGUGCAUGUUUCUGUAUGAAGGAUAUAGCUGAAGCGGCAAACUUAAAACCAGAGGAACAAAAGAAAUACACUUUCUGGCAAGACCAAGAUGGCAGCGCUCGGUUGCACCAUUCCGAAGAUAUUGUCUCUUGAAAAAGGCUCGACUUCUGUGGAAUACAAAUUUUUUUCCAGCCCUCCUACGUGGUUUUCAAUGGCAUCAGUACCAGAUUGUUAUGGAAACUGAAAACGUGAUUUUUAAAUAAAGCAAUUUUCUAGCCAUUUCUCGCUACACAAAAGCAGUGUCCCCCUUUAAGAGUUGGUGCACAUCUGUCCUUCCCGAUACUCAGUGGUUUGUGCAUAUGCUUUCAGUAUUAAAAAAAAGAUACCAAGAGGGGUAUUCUGCAAGUGUCCAUUUAGGCUUCCACCAAUUGGCUGGAGCUGUACGAGCAAUGCAACUGGUUCGGGGUGCCGGCCUGCUUAGAAAUACCCCAGGCAUACGUUCCAGGCCAACUAAUCAGCAGUUCAGCAGAAGCCAAAAUGGAGUCCAUUAGGUGGGCAAUUGCGGAAUAGCCCCCAGCUCAUACUUUUUUUUUACAUGUUCAGAAAACUUGACUGGAUAGAUUUUAGCUAAAAUUAAGCUCGAUCUUCGUCUGCGAUCAUUCAGCUACCAUGGGAAUGACAGUAGUACAUGAAUUUGGCCUAUGCUUGUUAAUUUGCUUAUACACUAUCUUUAUUCGCCUGAAUUUCGAUGUAAUCAUGCAUGUACAAACAGAUAAGGCACGAGACUAUGCACAUGCAUAAUCAUUGGAAAUUGGUGCAUUUAUAACAGAAAAUGUUUUUAGAAAGGAACAAUUUGAAAAGUCAAAAAGCCAUUCAAAGUCAUAUGGACAAAGCUUAAGCGAAAGCAUGUGCUAAUGAUCAUUCCCAUACUGCCACGCUUUCAGCUUUCGCGGAUAAUAGUGCCAAGGUUUCUUCUACCAGCUUUUGAGGGAAGCUUUUACGGUUUGGCGUGACUUUUCUCUGUUGCACAGAAACAAGUGGUGAAAAGAGCUCUGGUGCAGCCACAGCCGCUCCCCUUUGGCCUACUGGGAAGGGGGCCCAGCGUGUCCCGGGGACCACCACACGGAGGCGGGAGCGGCAGGGGCCAACAGCCCCGGACCCCCUUCUGAUACAGUGUCGCUCACCAGAGCCCUGUGCUCUAGGGGUACAUAUCAGCACGAUGUAGCAGAAACUUAGAGCAGGGAGUAAGAAAGAACAGAGUGAGCAUUUAUAUGAACCCUUCCUUACUGCUUCCUACAAGUCUUUAUUGACAUGUCGUGCUAACACCCGUAUGCACCGCGUAGGCAUCUAUUAGUCAUACUUAUAUGACAUCAGCACCACGUCACUGAAAUGACUAUCUGGGACCUAAAACGAAGCUUCCAGACCUCGUUUUACGUCGGCGCAUCGCUUCCCUGUCUUUAGCACAAAUUCUUUUACAGUCCUACCCUUCAUCAAGCACCCUAUAGCACGCCCGCAGCACGCAUAUCAGCGUUACACUCCGACACUCAACAGUGCAAGCUUACUGCCAACAUUACCACCUACUGAAAGCAGACACAGCAGUGGGACAAAACUGACAAGAACGUAAAACCAUGACAAAAUAAUGCCUCAGAUUCUUGUAGCAUUGCAUGCAGAUGUGGAUGUCAAGGGCUUGUAGGCUGAUAUUUUCAAAAAUAAGUUGAUGCUACAGUGGGUUACAGAAACGAUUAAAGAGAACACGAGGCAGAAUUCCUCCCCCAACUAAUCAACAGAAGACAAUUUGCCUGCCUGGUCUGGAUGGCCACCAGACGGUAAGGGCAACUUUUAUUUAACUCAGUCGUUGUCCUCAUCGUCUUCCUCUUCCUCGUUGUUGAUCUGGAAGUAUCGCAGCUCAAAGGCGUCCUUUGUGGUGGCCACAACCCUGAGCCAGUCCCGGAGGUUGUUCUUCUUGAGGUACUUCUUGGUAAGGUACUUCA